rnacentral:rRNA from 1 species
UACGUAGGGUGCAAGCGUUGUCCGGAAUUAUUGGGCGUAAAGAGCUCGUAGGCGGUUCGUCGCGUCGGCUGUGAAAACCCGAGGCUCAACCUCGGGCCUGCAGUCGAUACGGGCGGACUGGAGUUCGGCAGGGGAGACUGGAAUUCCUGGUGUAGCGGUGAAAUGCGCAGAUAUCAGGAGGAACACCGAUGGCGAAGGCAGAUCUCUGGGCCGUAACUGACGCUGAGGAGCGAAAGCGUGGGGAGCGAACAGG